CUGACCCAGCAGGUGCAUUUUUACUUUGCUCGGAGCUGCCGGACAGCGUGUACAUGUAGAGCAGCGAGUGCCCCUGCCCUGGGCCGGACGGGAAGCGCAGAGGUGUGCAAACCGGCUUGCUCUCUCUCCCAAAGCCACAGCCUUCUGCGGGGUCUCUGGGGAGUGUUUGCUGGCCACAAUUACUGCAGGAUAACCAAAGCCAACCAUGCUGAUGCCAUCUCAAACCUUCCCCUCUUGGAACUGAGCCUGGAGUGAUUGCCGCUCUCUAAGGAUGGUGAAUACACCAAACAGGACACUGCCCUUGAUUUACGAUCCCUGAUGGUCCACUUGGCCAAGCAGCGGGUGACUUUCUGGUCCAGGUGGCUCUAGAAAGAAAACAAAAAUGGCAUGGUUCUGUGAUUCCUUCAGCUUCUGUAAGCUCUAAUGGUCCUAGUUUCAAUCCCCAAGGUAGGACUGACGGAGUCCUGUGGGGUUGGCAGUGGACCAUCUAACUGAUGUCCUUUUGGCAGUCAUUUAACAUGAGAGUGGUGAAUCCAGUUAUCCAUUUCUGCAACUUUUACAGCAAAGAAAGAACUAAAUAACACACUAUACGGACCUUCCUGUUUAGGGUCCAACUUUGUUUUGCGAGAGUGGACUUUCAUCAUUACUGUAUCUCCAGACCAGAUAACAUGUCUUCCUGCUGGUUCUGGUUGAAACCAUUGUGCUUGUGCCCUAUUUUCUUGUGGAUGUUUUUGUAUCCCCAAUACAAGUUUCAUAAUUCAUUCAUCUCCAUCUAAAAGGCUGGUCCUAGCCAGGACAAAGGUCCCAGGUACAGCUAAAUGCCUGCCAAACACUAUUUCUGCUGGUGACAACCCUAGAGGGUGGCGAGGGGUAUUUCUAAUACCCUAUAGCACUAUUCUUAAAACUCCAGGCCAUUUCAAACCUACCUGACUACGAGUUUGAGCAAUUGUAUUUUUGAGAGUCCUAUUCAUUCUUUUCACCUGUCCUGACAGCUGUGGAUGAUACAGAACAUCUAGUUGUCUCUGUAUUCCUAAACUUAUAGAUACUCUUCAGUAUUCCCACUGAAAAAUGAGAACCCCUAUUGGAUUCUAUGGUUUCAGGUAUUCCAUAUCUGAGAAUCAUUUCCCGCAGGAGUGCUUUGACCACUCCCUCAAUAUCAGCUUUCCUGGUGGGAAAAGCUUCUACCCAUCCUGAGAGCUGGUCCACAAUUACCAGCAGGUGCUUAAAUCCGCUCAUGGGAGGCAGAUCAGCAUAAUCAAUUUGCAGUCUUUGGAAUGGGAAGUAUGCCUAUGGUGGUCCUCCAACCUCCUGUUUGCAUUUUGCAUCAGAAAACUUCCAACACGUAGGACGAGAACUCACAAUCCUUUUUACUGCCAUACGUAUUGCUGGAGCUGCCCACAUUUUCUCAGUCUCCUUCACAAUUGCUGCCAUCCCUCCAUGUGUUUUAUCAUGAAACCACCCAGCAAGAGUCAUUAAAUAUUUUCUUGGUAAAAUGGGUUUUCCUCCAGUAAUCCAUAUUCCAGUUUCAUCUUUCACAGCCUCCCAACUUUCCCAACGAGCUCGUUCUUCCUGAGUGACCGCUGCACAUAUUUGGGCUGGGUUAUUGACAUCUGGCCAAUCAUCAGCAGAGAGAGUUGUUACGGUGGUACACUCGCGUAUAGGUUGGAGGGCAGCAGUUUUAACUGCUGUGGGAUAACAAUGGAAGAUUGGCGAGGAGAAUUGUAAACAUGCUCGAGUGACCUGCAGCUGGGAUGUAGAAAAAUAAAUAUAUCAUAUUGA